CACAAUUCGUUUGCAUGAUUCUGCAUAUGCCAACUUGUAUAACACCUGAAGGUUAUGGGGAAAGAUAUUAUGCAGCAACAAUCAAAGAAAAUGAGUAGACUUGAUUGCCGUUGUUGAUGCCGCGCUUGCUGGAAGACAAGGAGAAGGAGCUCAAUUAUUGUGACCUUCGGUCAAGGAGAGCAGACUAUUAAGGGAGAUUGAAGACAAAUGGAAACUAAAAGGGCAAUCCAAUAAACUUGGAACUAUUUUCAGUUUAAUUGAAAGGAUGUUUACUGCUUCAAGCUCCAGAUUUCUCAUCUUAAAUCUUUCUCGCUGGCUUGAAAUGAUGAUGUUGGACCUGCUUCACCCUGCCAAGCAAAUGAAUAACAGCUGUCAAGAAAUGAUACAUCAAUGGGUUGUAAAUGAAAAGUAUGUCAGUUGG